AGCAGCCGCGGUAAUUCCAGCUCCAAUAGCGUAUAUUAAAGUUGUUGCAGUUAAAAAGCUCGUAGUUGAAUUUCGGGGUUAGUAGAUUGGUCAUGCCUCUGGUAUGUACUGGUCUCACUGAUUCCUCCUUCCUGAUGAACCUUAAUGCCAUUAAUUUGGUGUUUUGGGGAAUUUGGACUGUUACUUUGAAAAAAUUAGAGUGUUUAAAGCAAGCUAACGCUUGAAUACAUUAGCAUGGAAUAAUGAAAUAGGACGUUCGAUCCUAUUUUGUUGGUUUCUAGGAUUGACGUAAUGAUUAAUAGGGAUAGUUGGGGGCAUUAGUAUUCAAUUGUCAGAGGUGAAAUUCUUGGAUUUAUUGAAGACUAACUACUGCGAAAGCAUUUGCCAAGGAUGUUUUCAUUAAUCAAGAACGAAAGUUAGGGGAUCGAAGACGAUCAGAUACCGUCGUAGUCUUAACCAUAAACUAUGCCGACUAGGGAUCGGAUGAUGUUAAUUUUUUAAUGACUCA
rnacentral:rRNA from 1 species